rfam:Caulobacterales bacterium RIFOXYB1_FTLL_67_16 rifoxyb1_full_scaffold_525, whole genome shotgun sequence.
UUCGCGGAACGGGCCCCUCUGGCGCCGUCUCGACAGCGAGAGUUCCCCUGCCUCGCCUGUUCGGGCCGACGCGAUGUCGCACCGUACGG